rnacentral:rRNA from 1 species
GAAUCUUAGACAAUGGGGGAAACCCUGAUCUAGCCAUGCCGCGUGAUCGAUGAAGGCCUUAGGGUUGUAAAGAUCUUUCAGCCGGGAGGAUAAUGACGGUACCAGCAGAAGACGCCCCGGCUAACUCCGUGCCAUCAGCCGCGGUAAUACGGAGGGGGCUAGCGUUAUUCGGAUUUACUGGGCGUAAAGCGCACGUAGGCGGAUCAGAAAGUGAGGGGUGAAAGCCCGGGGCUCAACCUCGGCACUGCCUCUAAAACUUCUGGUCUUGAGGUCGAGAGAGGUGAGUGGAAUUCCGAGUGUAGAGGUGAAAUUCGUAGAUAUUCGGAGGAACACCAGGGGCGAAGGCGGCUCACUGGCUCGAUACUGACGCUGAGGUGCGAAAGCGUGGGGAGCAAACAG